GUUUCAGAUGAGGAAACCAAGGCCCAGAGAGGAAAAGGCGCAGCAGGCAUGACACCAUUGCCAUCGGUGUUUGCUUCACCCUUGAAGAUUACGAGGGAACCCUCCUCCUGUGCGGCAACAGUCUGGCCGGAGGCCCAGUCGUGGGGCGGUGUCUGCCGUCGGGGUCCAGAUCCACGGCACGCAGAGUCCGGGAGGCCCGGGAGGAACCAGCUGGCAAAGGACUUGGGAAAGGCGGACCUUCUUCCCGGCAGGCCUGACUCCGGUCUCCGUGGCCAAAGCAGGCAGGUGGCACAGCCGCAGCUCUCCAUGAGGGAGCAGUUUAGAUUAUAUGCUGUUGGAUUAAAAUGUAAUAAACAUAGGAGUAAAAAAACAAAACAAACAAACAAACAAAAAAAAAAAAAACCCGGCGUUUCAAGGGUCUGAGGGCUCAUCAGUUCCGAAGAGAAAGAAGACUCUCCAUGCCACUGUAAGCCUAGUGCCUGCUUGAAUGCCUCUGAGGACGGGGAACUCAUUACCUUACAAAGCUGUGCCUUGCCCCUUUUCAGUGUUAUAAUUUGAAAACAGAUUUUAAAAAAAUGAUCGCUUCAUGUUACCAUAUUUUUAUUAAAAUAAGAGAGAGGCCAAUACGGCAACAGAAGUUGUGCCAGUAAUUUUUGUUUGGUUUUUAAUCUACAAACUUUCUGAACUGUUCAGAAGUCGGGGGUCGUGAGGAAUGCGUGGUCUUGCCCCAUCAGAGAUGACCCUGGGGCGCAGCUCGGGCCCAGGCAAGGAGAACUCGGGAGUCUCUGCGGUGAGAUCCCAGCUCUCUCUCUCUUUCCAGGGGUCUGAAAAUCCCGAGGGGCCGCCCCCAGACUGCUUCCUGGCAGGGCAGAGGCCCAGCCCAGAGGCCCCGCUUCUGCCUGGGAACGCCAACGGCCCAGCUGCCUGGGGAAACAGAAAACGCCUAAAAAGUCGCCUUCCAUAACAGAAGAUCCUCGUCAGUCUCUGAGUUUCUUUCACAGGGAGAAGAAAAAAAAAUUUUUUUUUUAACCAUGAAAGUUUGGAAAUACAGCAAUUCAACGCGUAGAUCACUGGCUCAAAGAUCCCUAACACUUCCUGGUGAGGGGGACUCCACAGGCUCGGUCAGCACAGGCGAAGCUGCUCCCCCCCGCCCCCAGGCCUGCUUAGGAAGUUGUACAAAGUCUUUUGUUUUGGGGGGGAAACAACAAAAGGUAAACAAAAAUGACACUUUGAAAAGGAAACUCUCUUUGUCUCAGUGGAGUAAAAAGUUCCUGUCCCCAGGGGGAAGCACCUCAGCCCGGCGGGGGUGGCAGGGCCAGUGAGCACCCAGCCGGAGGGAGACCUGUUGAACUUUGCAAAAUUUUUAAAAACGUAGUCACUGGAAUAGCACCGUAGUUUUGAACACUUCCUCG
rnacentral:lncRNA from 1 species